AUGUUGAUCUAUAUUGUUAUACUGCUGUCAUUAACCGAAGGUUACGGAGCCUCAGAAGUCAUUACUCCAAAAAGAAACAGAGAAUUUGCUCUUGAGGGUGACAUUAAUGUGACACUCUCCUGUAACUACAGCGGUUCUGCUGUUGGUGCUCACUGGUAUCGUCAAUAUGCAGGUUCACCACCACAGUUCCUCAUACUGGAAUAUUCAGGGGUAACAACUCCAGCUAAUCCACCCAUUCCAGGAAUAACCAUCAAUCACAGAAAAACUGAAAGCCAUGUGGAUCUGAAGAUCUCCUCUGCUGCUGUAUCAGACUCUGCUCUGUACUACUGUGCUCUGCAGCCCACACUGACAGGAAAACAGACUGCACUGUACAAAAACCUCACAGUAUUUUGGGAAAGUAUUAAAGCAAGGAUUUUUCUACUGACAUUUUAUUAUUCAAUGUUCAUUAAAUACCCAGCUAACCAAUAAAUAAUAAAAACUCCUUCUUCAU